UUGACCUUGCUUGUUUUACUGCCUCAGGUGUUGUUUUUAGAACUUCUUACUUUGUAAGUAUUUUUGUUAUCGAGAUUUUUGCUGGUUUGGUUACGCGUGUUUGGACUCUUGCUAGCUCGUUUUGUGUAUUUUCGGGUUUUGCUGUUACCUUGCCUUUUCGCAAAACUUUUUUUUUUUUUUUUUUUUGCUGUUGUUAUUGAGUCUUCUUUUGAGCUUGAGUUACCGGCAGCAUGUGAACCUACGACAGUGCUCAGGACUCCAGCGAGGCAUUUUAUGCAUGAAGACUGCGGCUGAAUUUAACGGCAUUCAAAGGCGCCGCUUCCACUGGCCAGGGGGGCCCUUCGAGAAGUCAGCAGCUGUUUCCGGAUGGAACCUGGAUGCACUCUGCGGGCAGCACAGGGGUGGGGGGAGACGAAGUCUCCAGCUGUAGAGUGGGCGUUCCGUCACAAGUCACACCUGUCUCAAAUCUGGCCUUGUUACCUGUCUGCUUUAAAAGCUAGGCCACGCUGACAACUGAGUGCCUGAUUUUUAGCCUUGUGGAGAAUGCCGGACAUCUGACACUGGUAAACUGCAAUAAAAGAAUGUUUAGCAGAGGGAUGUUUGAAAAUAUUGAAAGUUGGACACUAUCCACACAUUUAAUUUCUAUGGUGGUCGUUCCUCCGUAGGGUCGUGACUUGCAAGUGAGCUGGAACUUAUUCCAACUGCCUUUGGGUGAGCGUGAGGAGUACUAGUGUCUAGCCAAUUCAAUUAAUUGUUUAAUAAAAUGAAUUUAUGAAUAUGUUCAAUCAUAUCCUGUCAGUUCUCAUGAGAUGUUCCCAUCUUUGAGAAUGCCAAGAAUUCUGCAAUCCUGACCUUGUCGACAAAAGCUUGGGAAUGUAUCUUGGACCUUUUUGACCCUAGAAAAUAGUACACGGCUUCUCUGGUAAUAUCAUUAGUCUUAUGGGGCCCCUCAUUCGUGGAAGAAAUUGUUAUAUGUGACAAUGAACUUCCAGAAACAGAGCUAUUUAGGACUCAAUUACAUGAUGGCCUCACAAGUUUUGAGUUGAAUUAUGAGUCAUUGUUUCAGAUAACAAGAUGAGAAAAAUGUUCUUUAAUAUUU